CAACGUUCUACUAUAAGGGAGGAUUGUGUUAAAUAACGUAAUUUGCAUAUAAAUUAAUAAUUAGCAGCAUUACCACAAAAUCGAUCACCGGAAUCUCUCCAACCGAUUCUCUCCCCGAAAUAUUUUCCAAGAUAGUGACGCUCGUUUUUACCAUUUUAGACACAUUAAACGCCCAAAACUCGAAACAAAUAACAUCCGAUGUGGUGGAGAUCAGCCUCUUUCAUUCUCGACAAACAACAAAACGACACCGCACAAACCAUACCUGACACCCUAACUCUCUCUUCUCCGCCUCUCUCCAUGGCCGAUACUCUCCAAAACCCUAACCCUAAUAACAUUUCCGCUUAUUAUCAGACUCGUGCGGCCCACCAUGGCGUCGUCACUAGCGACUGGCUUGCCCAGGCGCAGGCUGCUGUUGGCCGCCAUCCUGAUGAUGUCUUGCCGCCGGAACCUGAAGUAAAAGUCGCUGGAAAGCCGUUUAGUGUCAUCCAUGAGUUCAAUAACUGGAGGAACCAACCGGACUUAGCGGAGGCUGUUGCUGCGAUUAGGGCGCUUGCGGCUGUAAUUAGGAACAGUGAGGCGACUACCAUGAUGGAGCUUGAAAUCGAGCUCAAGAAGGCAUCGGAUUCGCUCAAAGUGAGUUGUCAAUUUUUUUUUCUCUUUUUUCCCCCUUUUCAAUCUGAUCACUUUUAAUGGUUUGCUUAUGUUAGUGAUUAAUUUGUGAUGUGUUAAACUUUGGAAUGCAACUGCAGCAUUAUAACUGAAUUUGGAUUAUUUAUGUAUAUAUUUUGGCCAAGUAGUGGUGAGAAUUCUGAAAGGUUGGUCUUGGAAGGAAAUGAAUAAUUUGUGGAUCAAUGAAAAUGUUACAUUGGAUGUUUAUAUUCCAUACUCACAAUUGUUCCAUUGUUGAAGCCUGAGUUUUUCCAACGAUUUCUUGGAGGUUUCAGAAUUUUUUUUUUUUAUUAUUGGUUAGUGUUGCCUCUUUUUGCUAGUUACUCUUCAGAAAAAUAUUGUGAAUCUGUAAUUAAUCCUAUAUGUUCUGUCCAGUCUUGGGACACAACCUCUAUCUCUCUUACAGCAGGAUGUGAUCUGUUUAUGCGGUAUGUAACCAGAACUUCUGCCUUGGAAUAUGAGGACUUCAAUUCGGCUAAAUCUCGCUUGAUUGAACGUGCAGAGAAGUUUGGAGAGAUAUCUUAUAAGGCACGCAGAAUCAUUGCAAUGCUUAGUCAAGAUUUUAUUUUUGAUGGCUGCACUAUUUUGGUGCAUGGGUUCUCCAGAGUUGUGUUGGAAGUCCUGAAGACAGCAGCUCAGAAUAAGAAACUGUUUCGAGUUUUCUGCACAGAGGGAAGGCCUGAUAGAACAGGAUUAAGGUUGUCCAACGAGUUGGCCAAGCUUGAUGUUCCUGUGAAACUCCUAAUAGACUCUGCUGUGGCAUAUUCUAUGGAUGAAGUGGACAUGGUAUUUGUUGGAGCAGAUGGAGUUGUUGAAAGUGGAGGUAUAAUCAACAUGAUGGGAACGUACCAAAUUGCACUGGUGGCUCAUAGCAUGGACAAACCUGUAUAUGUAGCUGCUGAAAGCUAUAAGUUUGCUCGUCUUUAUCCCUUAGAUCAGAAAGACAUGGCUCCUGCUUUACGGCCCAUUGAUUUUGGGGUACCCAUCCCGUCAAAGGUGGAGGUCGAAACAUCUGCCAGGGAUUAUACUCCUCCUCAAUACCUGACAUUGCUUUUUACUGAUCUUGGUGUACUCACUCCAUCUGUAGUCAGUGAUGAGCUGAUUCAGCUAUACUUAUAGUCAUG
rnacentral:misc_RNA from 1 species